AGAAGUUUAGGUUAACCACAAACCAAGGGCCUUCAAAGCCCUAAAUAUGCCCAGACAUAACUCCUG
rnacentral:tRNA from 1 species